rnacentral:tRNA from 1 species
GCCCAGGUAGCUCAGUCGGUAGAGCAGAGGAUUGAAAAUCCUCGUGUCGGCAGUUCGAUUCUGUCCCUGGGCACCA